ACAGAGAACCAAGAACUUACUGUGUAACAUCUGUCAGUCAGUGAGACGGCUUCAGUCAUUGAUCAUGUAUCAUAGACAGAGUGUGAUUUUGGAGUUUUUACGUCAGAAUUUAGAAGAAAAAAAAAGUGCCAUUUUUACUGGUGAUACACAAUUUUAAAAAAUACAGAGGAAAAAGUGACACAACUGUGAAAACAAAUCAUUGAAAGUCUCAGAAGAAGAAUUUUGAAUUCUUUCAAACUUUAUUGUUUAUCAGAAUUUUGACUUGUUUCCAAAAAUUCAUACUUUUUCUUGGAAUUCUUACUUUUUGUUAAUUCUGUCUUUUCCCCUAAAUUCUGACAUUUUCUUAUUUCUGAUGUUUUUUUCUCAAAAUUCAGACUUUUCUUUCUUGUAUAGGUGGGGUUAAAAAAGAAAUAAAUAACUCCCUCUUAACACUUUACACCCGUUUUCCAAUAAGCACAUUUCAGAUGAUUUCGUAACGGUUGUUUAUAUGAUUUUAAUUUUGAGCAGUUUUAUAUUUUCAGAUCUAAAUAAACAUCCACCAGACUAGAAGCAAUAAUUAGGUCUUUAAGUGUGAAGUGAAGUUUUUUUUUCUAUUUUUCUCUCCUGGUGCUCUAAACCGGGUGGGGAACCUCCGGCCUCCGCGAGACUGUUUGGUCGGGCCAGCGAGGCAAUCCAUGAAAAAUUAAUUCAGGAAAAAUGAUUACAAAUGUGUAAUUAAAAGCCCCAGGGGGAGGGUGUCUGUCUUUCCGGGCCAAGAUCAAGGUCAUUGAACACAACAUCAGCGUAACUGUCAUCACGUCACGUCCUCAGUGAUUGACAGGUGUCAACAGCGGCAGGAGAGACAGCCGUUAGCUAAAACGGAACAUGGCGACUAGAAAAAGAGAAGUAGAAGCGGAGUUUCUCUCUCCGGGAGAAAUAGACGAAGGAAUUCUUCUUUGUGGAGGUGAAAGUCUCGUGUGCCCGAAUAAAGUUUCCGCUCUCUGAUGGAGUUUGAGUGGCAGCAAGCAGUUUUAUCCAAAGCGGAGAGACCAGGAGACUUGACAGGCUAGCUUCGUUGAAAUGGCCAUCGACAGAAUAAAGGUUCCCCACCCAUAAACUCGGGUAAGAAUCAGGAGAAAGAAGACAGCUGUAGUUUGGUUUGUGUCUCACCGACCUGCCAGAAGUCAGAGAUGGUGUGCGACAAAGGGCCCUGGGUGGCGAUGUAGGCCGGCAUCCGGGGGUCAUGUUCAAUCUGAAGAAGGUCAAAACAAGAUAAAGAUGCAGGGCACCGAAUCAGGGCAGCGGUUCUUCUUGGCGUUGGCUUCGCUCUGAGCCACGGAGACGGCGCUGGGCUCGGCCUGGUAGGAGCAGAGAGCCUCCCACUCCUUCAUCAGACGGUCCUUGUUCCUCAGGUGGUCCUCCAUGUAGGCCUGAGGAGGAAACAGCAGACAGCUUUCUCCGCCACGUCUCCGGCCGACAUGUUGUUGGAGUUGGGUCUGAUUCUGAAGGUGAUGGCGGGUCCGAACACACUGCAGACGGACACAAGGACAAAUCCGGAGGACAGAUUACUUUACAUGUCAGGUACUUCAGUUACUUUACAAAUUAAGUAAACAGACCUGAAGUGAAGUUGUUGUUCUUUAUUGUAAUUUAUUAUAAUGUGAUAUUUGAAUUUUAAAUGUUUUCUGGGAUAUUUUCUUAUUUCUUUCUUUAUUUCUAAGUAAAAUCAGUUCACUUGCUUCCUGGUGUUUCUUUUGUUUAGUUUUAUAAAGUGUUAUUUUUCUUCUUUCUCUCUUUAAUCUUUGCACGAACAUAUUUGUAUUUUUCAGAUUUAUCUUCUUGACUUUUUAUGUUUAUGAACAGUUUGUCUGCAGACCAGCUCUCCUCAAGAAAGUGUUUUAUUUAACAUGGACUCAAAGUUUUAAAGUGAAUCCCAUGAAAUCAAAGUCAGAGGUCCAGUCGGUGAGGAGGAGGAGGACGAG